rnacentral:lncRNA from 1 species
UAGAAGUCAGGUCGGAUUAAGCCAUAGUACGGAAAAAACUAUGCUACCUGUGAGCCCCGUCCAAGGACGUUAAAAGAAGUCAGGCCACUACAAGUGCCAUAGCUUGAGCAAACUAUGCAGCCUGUAGCUCCACCUGGGAAGGUGUAAAAAAUCUGGGAGGCCACAAACCAUGGAAGCUGUACGCAUGGCGUAGUGGACUAGCGGUUAGAGGAGACCCCUCCCUUGCAAGUCGCAGCAACAAUGGGGGCCCAAGGUGAGAUGAAGCUGUAAUCUCACUGGAAGGACUAGAGGUUAGAGGAGACCCCCCCGAAAUAAAAAACAG